rnacentral:rRNA from 1 species
UACGAAGGGGGCUAGCGUUGUUCGGAAUCACUGGGCGUAAAGGGUGCGCAGGCGGCCGAGUGUGUGAGGCGUGAAAGCCCGGGGCUUAACCCCGGAAUUGCACCUCAAACUACACGGCUAGAGCAUUGGAGAGGGUAGCAGAAUUCACGGUGUAGCAGUGAAAUGCGUAGAUAUCGUGAGGAAUACCAGAGGCGAAGGCGGCUACCUGGACAAUUGCUGACGCUCAGGCACGAAAGCGUGGGGAGCAAAAGGG